AUACCAGCACCCCGAGUGGUCGGGACGAUUAUUGGGCCUAAAGCAUCCGUAGCCGGUGUAGCAAGUCCUCCGUUAAAUCCACUUGCUCAACAAGUGGGCUGCGGAGGAUACUGCUACACUAGGGGGCGAGAGAGGCGAGGGGUAUUCCACGGGUAGGGGUAAAAUCCUCUGAUCCGUGGAGGACCACCAGUGGCGAAGGCGCCUCGCCAGAACGCGCCCGACGGUGAGGGAUGAAAGCUGGGGGAGCAAACCGAAGUAGAUACCCUAGUAGUCC
rnacentral:rRNA from 1 species